GGAACAUUAAACCGAAGCUAGAGAGGGGCGGUAUCACUAAGGAACUGUCAACGCAGCGGUCUCAGGGUACCAGCAUUGUGGAUGCCAGGGUUUGCAGGACUGUUCAAGAAAACCAAGUCUGCUCCUUCCAGCUCGCUUUCCAGCUCCACCCCGUAUCACCGACCCAUCUUUAAUGGCAACCCUCGAGGAUCGCCAGUGACUUUAUUUUUUGCAAGCUUUAAAAAAUGAUUAGAAUGCAAAUACUCACUGCAGUGGGACAGACUAUAGUUGCAGAUGGAUCAAGCACCAUUCCUGUGCUGGAUCCCCGGAGGGAAGAGGAAUGGAGGUCUCUGGCUUGUGAGACAAAGCUUGGUCAAGGAGGCUUGCUUUGGGGACUGGACUUGGAAAACCAAGAAGGGGAAACUGAGGCUCAGGCUGGAAGAAGCAAGGCUGAAGCUUACACAGCCUGCCAGGAAUAGGCCUCUGCAACCCCUCAGCCAGGAUUCAUCCCUCUCCUGUACUGUCUGUCAGGCCAGGGCAAAUCAACAUAAGAGAGGGCCAGAAGCCCAUUGCUCUUAGCGUGGAUUCCCCUGCCCUGGCUUUGCGUCACUGCUCAUCACGGGAAGAUGUUUAUCCUGAGCGGAGAGACUUCCAAGUCCCUGACUGGAAACUAACUCAAGGUUAAGAAAUCUUCGCGUAUUUUUACAAGGUAUGAUUGUAAAGCAGACAAACAAUGCUUAAAGGGAAGUCCAUGUUUCUUUUCUACCUUCAAUUCACUCUUACUAGCUUUUAAAUUUCUUUGUGAUUCUCAGGUGCUAUGGGUCUCUGCUCCUGGGAAGUGGCUCUAACUGUAACUGAGAGAACUCUGGAAUUGUUAGAGUUUAAAGGAAGCUUCACAGUAUUCUGGGCCAUGUUUUUUGGUUUACAGAUGGGAAUAGUGGGGCUGAGAGGGAGUCAGUCUUUAAUCUGGCUUAUUCAGCAUGUUAAUAGACUACUAAUCAUACAAGUCAGCCAUUUGGCCAAUCAAGGGCAAGGAGGUUUCUACAAAGCAUCUCCCUCUGAGAUACACAGAUCAUUUUUAUGAACAAGAAGUGGACUGAGCCCAGCUCUGGGGAGCUGAACUUACCGGAUCCUGGGCUUAAAGAAUCUAUAGGUAUCUACAUAAAGGCAUGGAUCAUGGGUUGUCCUCCUCCCCAUCUUGUUUCCUGGAGAGACUGGUACAUUGAAGGCAGGAGAAUUUUCCAAGAUUUCACGAUGACUCGCAAAAGCACUGAGAUUGCAUGCUGCUCCAGGUAAGUAUUUGGACGACAUAUGUAUCCCUCUAACCAUGUGGGGAAUUUUGUACAAACCAUCUCCCUCCUGAGACUCAGUUUCUCCAUCCAUCACAGGGAUUUACUCAACCACCAUAGGAAUGUGUCAGCUGUCAUGGUCUCAGGAUCUAGAAUCCAAGGUUCGGGGCUAUUUCAUGACUAACAUAAGAUUAUGUGAAGUGAGAAAUCAACUGCCACAGUGAUAUACCACCAAGGUUUUGGAACAUUACAGGACAGACGAGUUCUGCUUCCAAAACACAAAGUCAGUGGUUGCUAUUAGCUAUUUGUGUACAAAAUGUUAAUGACAAUAUAUUUAUUUUUAUUUUUCCCUAUGUCAUUUUCUCAGCCUCUUACGAUCACUUGUCUGCUUUCAAAGAAAAGCAUAUAAAACAGCACGUACACUAGUGACAGAGCAAUAGAAAACUCAGAAACAUGAUAUCUUUAUCACUUUUUCCUUUAUUGAGGCAUAAGAAAGAAACAAUAUGCAACAAACAUUUACCACAUACGAUGGAACUGGUACACUUUCAAAUAGGACCAGUAAACAACUAGUGCUGUAAUGUCCAUUUCCCAGAUGACAAAACUGGAGCCCAGUGAUGGCAUAGUUUACUUAGUACAUAUAAAGUGUUAAGUAAUAAAGCUUAGGUUUGAAAUCAGUUUUCCUGACUCAGAUUUACCCGAAUUAAUCACUUUCUUGCCUCGAACCUCCGUGAAAACACACGUUCCACACCACACUGUGCUUCCACGACCCACGAGACCCUCCCACAACUGAGUUCAGCUGUGUCGCAUGCUUAUUCUGUGCGGGGCACAAUUCUAAAUGCUGUCUAAUCCUUGCAUCAAUCCUUCACAGUGAGAGUCAUUAUUAUUAUCCCAUGUUACAGACAAAGCGACAGGAGCAGGGAGGCGAGGCGCUUUACCCUGCUUUCACUGCUAGGACAGGAGAAUCCAAGAGUCAAAACUAAAGCAUCCUGGCCCCAGAGCUAGCCCUGCUUCUCUUCCUAUGCUUCAAGGGACAAGUCUCACCUCUGGAGGAACGAGUGACCUAUUUAACUUGAGGAGAAAAUGACUUUUCCAUGAGGAGGAGCAGGGGCAGAGGAACACGGGAGCUUAGGGCCCUAAGAGCCCUCUGCCCCUGGAAUGCAAUUCUUCCCAGGCUGAAAGUUGCCCUUGUAAAAUGAUCCAUAAUGAAGAUCCUGUUAGUGUGCAAGAGACCUGCCAGGCAUGUAUCACCUGCGAGCCAUCAGCAUGCUUCGUAAAGCCGCACAGCCUUGACGAGCCUGCUCUUCUUCCCCGCCUGGGCUGACAGCCCUCCCUGGGUGGAGCCCUCUGUGUGUACUCUGUGGGCCUCACAGUGUGGAGGACUGGACUUGGCUGCAGGGGAGAGUUCCCACACAGGUGCCAGCAGGCCAUUCAUGUUUAACACUUCCCUUUAUAUAAGAACAGUAAAGUAUGACUUUAAAGCUA